rnacentral:rRNA from 1 species
CGCAAGCCUGAUGCAGCCAUGCCGCGUGUAUGAAGAAGGCCUUCGGGUUGUAAAGUACUUUCAGCAGUGAGGAAGUGGGUAUGUUAAUAGCAUAUUCAUUUGACGUUAGCUGCAGAAGAAGCACCGGCUAACUCCGUGCCAGCAGCCGCGGUAAUACGGAGGGUGCGAGCGUUAAUCGGAAUUACUGGGCGUAAAGCGCAUGCAGGUGGUUGUUAAGUCAGAUGUGAAAGCCCGGGGCUCAACCUCGGAAUUGCAUUUGAAACUGGCAAACUAGAGUACUGUAGAGGGGGUAGAAUUUCAGGUGUAGCGGUGAAAUGCGUAGAGAUCUGAAGGAAUACCGGUGGCGAAGGCGGCCCCCUGGACAGAUACUGACACUCAGAUGCGAAAGCGUGGGGAGCAAACAGGAUUAGAUACCCUGGUAG